AUGCCAAACGUCCCCGUCACGACCCCGUUAGUCUCUCCCGCCCCCCCAACCGGGGCAGUCCGAUCGCACUCGCUGCAUAUCAGAGGCUCCGCGCGGCGCGCUCCUCCUCGCUCCCGCUCCCCACUCCCGGGAUGUGUCUCCGCCGUACGACGGGCUAUGGCCACCACGACUUCCGGGUUCCGUCAUUUCGUUCUCCCGCCGCCGACCCGCGCCGCCAAACUGAGGCUCUUCUAUAAGCCAGGCAGCAGCCAACCUGCCAACACCUACUGA